rnacentral:rRNA from 1 species
CGAACGGGUGAGUAACGCGUGGGCAACCUGCCCUCUAGAUGGGGACAACAUCCCGAAAGGGGUGCUAAUACCGAAUGUGACAGCAAUCUCGCAUGAGGAUGCUGUGAAAGAUGGCCUCUAUUUAUAAGCUAUCGCUAGAAGAUGGGCCUGCGUCUGAUUAGCUAGUUGGUGGGGUAACGGCCUACCAAGGCGAUGAUCAGUAGCCGGCCUGAGAGGGUGAUCGGCCACAUUGGGACUGAGACACGGCCCAAACUCC